UAGAGUUUGAUCCUGGCUCAGGACGAACGCUGGCGGUGCGCCUAAUGCAUGCAAGUCGAACGAUCGACUCCGACUUGUCGGAGAAGAGAGUGGCAGACGGCUGAGUAACACGUGGGUGACCUGUCCUAAAGAGGGGGAUAAUCCCGAGAAAUCGGGCCUAAUACCCCGUAAGUCUGCCUGGCUACGGCUAGGUAGGGAAAGAUUCUUCCUUCGGGGAGCGUCGCUUUUGGAGGGGCCCGCGACCUAUCAGGUAGUUGGUAAGGUAAUGGCUUACCAAGCCUAAGACGGGUAACCGGUGUGAGAGCACGAUCGGUCAGAGGGGGACUGAGACACGGCCCCCACUCCUACGGGAGGCAGCAGCAGGGAAUCUUGCGCAAUGGGCGAAAGCCUGACGCAGCGACACCGCGUGGAGGAUGAAGGUCUUAGGAUUGUAAACUCCUUUUAUCAGGGAAGAGAAAGGACGGUACCUGAUGAAUAAGGAUCGGCUAACUACGUGCCAGCAGCCGCGGUAAUACGUAGGAUCCGAGCGUUGUCCGAAUUUACUGGGCGUAAAGAGCGCGUAGGCGGUUUGUUAAGUCUCAUGUGUAAUCUCCCGGCUCAACUGGGAGGGGUCAUGGGAUACUGGCAGACUCGAGGAUAGCAGAGGAAAGCGGAAUUCCCGGAGUAGUGGUGAAAUGCGUAGAUACCGGGAGGAACACCAGAGGCGAAGGCGGCUUUCUGGGCUAUUUCUGACGCUGAGGCGCGAAAGCGUGGGGAGCGAACCGGAUUAGAUACCCGGGUAGUCCACGCCCUAAACGAUGGAUACUAGAUAUUGGGGGUAUAGACCCCUCCAGUGUCGAAGCUAACGCGAUAAGU
rnacentral:rRNA from 1 species